GACGAGCGCCAGAAAAAAACGAAGGCUGGAGAGCAGUUCGCGCGACGAGUAUUCCGUUGCUUGAGAGACCGGAGAAGAGACUAAAAGGUGUGGGGACCAGUUUCUGUGCUUCCGACAGCAGAGACUUUUUCAUUAUCUACCUGUCUUCAAAAAACCAUGGAAAAGACGUACAUACACGGCUUCCAGUGCCCCGGUAUACGAGUGACACACCUACUCGAGCCAGCUGUCUCUUGUGCUUCGGAACUUUGUCGGCGUAACGUAGCAAGAUGUGGCGAUGGCGGCGUGGCAUCGAGGUCUUGCAGCCAGCAUUUGGCCCUCCACAUGUUACAGCCCCACAAUGAAACAAAACCGAUAAUAACGGUGGUACUUGCAUUACCAGCAAGUCAAAUUGGCUCAAUGGUGGUUGCCGUACACACCCAGAACCUCACGGAGAUCUUGCUGCAGGUGUAGAACCAGAUAAAAGAGAAGAACGGCUGGAGUCCGCUGCUGCAUGUGGUACUGUAGGUAUAUGGUGUAUGGCUGUUGAUGCGAAGUUAGGGGGUUCGGCCUCGGUUACGGCGGCACCACUUCGAUGGCUGCGAAGUGAUAGAGACGCGCAUCAUGCAGGGCUCAUUAAAAAAGCAUCAAAUGAAA